AGUGGUAUCCUAUCGUGUUCAUAUUUUUGCUCAAGUAUACGUCACCAGUUGUAUGCCUCGCAUUGUAACAGAUAUGUUGUGUAGCGAAUCUUCUCUUCAUCGUAGCAUUCUUGCACAGCGAAUGCCUUAUCUAUUUUCAUAAUCCAGUUAUCUGCUUCCAGUGGCUCGAUGGUCCCUUUGAAGGCUGGAGGGGCUAGCUUCUUAAACUCGACGAUAUUGUUUCUCUGCAUCGGAUGUUCUCCAUGUCCAGGUGUCGGUGGAAAAUACUGACGUGGCUG
rnacentral:lncRNA from 1 species